rnacentral:rRNA from 1 species
UAACACCUGGAAACAGAUGCUAAUACCGGAUAAUAACAGAUGAUGCCUAUCAACUGUUUAAAAGAUGGUUCUGCUAUCACUCUUGGAUGGACCUGCGGUGCAUUAGCUAGUUGGUAGGGUAACGGCCUACCAAGGCGAUGAUGCAUAGCCGAGUUGAGAGACUGAUCGGCCACAUUGGGACUGAGACACGGCCCAAACUCCUACGGGAGGCAGCAGCC